rnacentral:rRNA from 1 species
GACGAACGCUGGCGGCGUGCUUAACACAUGCAAGUCGAGCGGUAAGGCCCUUUCGGGGGUACACGAGCGGCGAACGGGUGAGUAACACGUGGGUGACCUGCCCUCAGCUCUGGGAUAAGCCCGGGAAACUGGGUCUAAUACUGGAUAUGACUCCAUGACGCAUGUUGUGGGGUGGAAAGCCUUGUGCGGCGUGGGGAUGGGCCCGCGGCCUAUCAGCUUGGUUGGUGGGGUGAUGGCCUACCAAGGCGACGACGGGUAGCCGGCCUGAGAGGGCGACCGGCCACACUGGGACUGAGACACGGCCCAGACUCCUACGGGAGGCAGCAGUGGGGAAUCUUGCGCAAUGGGCGAAAGCCUGACGCAGCGACGCCGCGUGAGGGAUGACGGCCUGGUGUAAC